rnacentral:rRNA from 1 species
GGACUGCAGGCUGCAACUCGCCUGCACGAAGUUGGAAUUGCUAGUAAUCGUGGAUCAGCAUGCCACGGUGAAUACGUUCCCGGGUCUUGUACACACCGCCCGUCACACCAUGGGAGCCGGUAAUACCCGAAGUCAGUAGUCUAACCGCAAGGAGGACGCUGCCGAAGGUAGGAUUGGCGACUGGGGUGAAGUCGUAACAAGGUAAC